ACAGCGAGGCGCCCGGCCCGGGGUGUGGAGUGGAGGUGGGCCCCCAGCUACAGGUGAGUUCGAUCAAGGCCUCACAACCUCCCUAAAAGCUUAUAAAGUUGUUUUAUGGUUAACAAGGUUUGAUCAGCGAUCAGUCCCGGACACUUUGAGGAGCAGCCUCAAGGUGACUAAAACCCGGAAAGACACUUUAGGGAGAGUUUACCAGCUCCCCCUAAUGUGACGUUCCUGCUGGAUACUGAGCUGUGAGCAAUGUAUUAACCUUCAGAUGCCAGCGAUUAGGUGAAUAAUUAAAAGCAUCUGAACAAAAUUUGGCUGUUGAUCAGUCAUGAGGGCUGUUUGGUUUUUUACCAUGUACUUUCAAGGUAAAGGACAUGGAAAGUGAAAUCAAAACGCGAAAGAAAGUGCAAGUGGAGAAGCAAGCCUAGGGGAAGGCAGAGAUGAUUCCCCCCGCAGCCUCGCUAAGGCAUUGAUCGGACAUUCGCAAAAUCUUUAUCCAUUGCCUGCUGAGUGCAAGAAGAUAUUGGGCAAUAAUUCAACCAAUUAUUGGUAUGGGGAAGAGUUUAAAAUACAAAUGUAGGACUUCCUGUGGUGGCUCAGCAGGUUAAGCACCUGACGAGUAUCUAUGGGGACGCGGGUACAUCCCCGGCCUUGCUCACUGGGUUUAGGAUCCCGCUGUUGCCACCCGCUGCGUGUAGGCGGAUGCAGCUGGGAGACGGCAUUGCUGUGGCUGUGGCCUGGGCCUCAGCUGCAGCUCCCAUUCGACCCUGCCUGGAACUUCCAUAUGGUGCACAUGUGGCUGGUAAAAGAAAAAAAAAAAUAUAUAUAUAUAUAUAUCCACAUGGAUAUGUGGAUUUGUAAGACCUGUAGGUCUGGGGAGAUGAUUCUGAUGUCUGCUGGGUUCGUGACCACUGUCAUCAGGCUGGCUGUACAAAGAUGAACAAGGCUCUUCCCACAUGUAACCUGUAUUGUAAGAGACCCGUAAACACACGUUAAUGCCACCAUGGGAAAUAACAAGAGUGGGAGUUCCUGUUGUGGUGCCCUGAAAACAAAUCCGACGUGAAUCCAUGAGGAUUUCAUCCUUGGCCUUGCUCCGUGGGUUGGGACCUGGUGUUGCCAUGAGCUGUGGCUGCGGCGGAGGCUGGCAGCUACAGCUCCGAUUCGACCCCUGGC
rnacentral:lncRNA from 1 species